AGUGUUACAAUAUGUCACAACAACUAGUUUCUGAACUAUAAAUGGAUAAGGAAGAAACAUCUUUGAAGAAUGUGUAUCGCUGCAGUUCCAGGAUAUAUUUUGAUUGCAAGCUGCUGGAAUAUUCAGUGUGGAUUAAAAUAGCAGAAGGCCUUCGGUGCUUGUCGACUGGAAGACACAGCCGUAGUAAUCUCCCAGAUGUGUCUCACAUGGCUCUGGAAUCACUGGAGAAGUCUACUCGCAGGCCUUAUGUGGAUUUCAGUAAAAACAAUCAGAAACUCCUGGCACAGGAACUGUAUCUGCAUAUGAAUGCAGAAUCUGUAAAGGACCAAGAUCGGAAUCUUCACAUUAGAAGCAUUCUGGUUUUCUGUUUGUAUUUGUGUGGGCUUUGGUUGCGUGCCAGUCAACAGUUUGUGUGGACAGCACAGGAGGCAGAAUAUAUUGGCCAAGAUGCACUCUAGGAACCUACGGGCCAUUGUCUGACAACAAUUUAGCUAGUAAUGGCGUUCAUUUGAAGGUAUCUGUUUAAUGGGCUAAUAAAGGUUGGAGUCAAACCCAUGGCCGCUGCAGGAAGGACUCAGCCUUGGUAGAUGAGGUGCCAGCUCUACCAGGUGAGCUAUCAAGGAACCCCCUUAAAAUGUAUUUUGUGAGGAUGUUAAAAACAGAAAUAAAAUUGAAUUGUGGAGAAAUAAAAUUGAAUGCUGCAACACAUCUAAUAAGCUAGCGUCCUCCAUUUUGUUCCCAUCACAUCACAGGUCAGCAGUGCCAAGCUUGCUAUAGGUCAAUGACACAACACUGCUGUCAAAGUUGAACAUGUGAAGGAUUUGUUUGGCAGUGCUGUCUCCUAGAAAUUCUGGUUAUAUACAACUAAUUUGCAACGGCAAAUAUGUUUGGAAUGAAACAUACCACAAAACGAAUUUUACAUUAACAGAAUAGGGAAAUGUUGUAAAUGAACGUACCUGGCAAAACGCAAAAAUGCUGAACGUAUAAAUAAAAUGUUCACUGACAACUGAUUUCAUUUGUUUUAUGCCAAAAUAGACAAUCUUGCAAUAUUAUUCACUCGUAGUGACUACAGCGUUAUUCAAAAGUCAGCAGUGACUCGAGACAUACGUAUUUUUGAACAUUUACCCAAAAUCACAAAAGUUUCCCAACCUUAACAAACUUUUUUUUGCAGCAGUCUGGACUCAAACCCUGGACUGUUGUCUCUGAACGUAAUCCUGGCAGGUAUUUACG
rnacentral:lncRNA from 1 species